UGUAAAUUUCAGAAGACUUGGAAGAGGAGC
rnacentral:piRNA from 1 species